CGCUGGCGGCGUGCCUAAUACAUGCAAGUCGAACGCUUCUUUCCUCCCCGAGUGCUUGCACUCAAUUGGAAAGAGGAGUGGCGGACGGGUGAGUAACACGUGGGUAACCUACCCAUCAGAGGGGGAUAACACUUGGAAACAGGUGCUAAUACCGCAUAACAGUUUAUGCCGCAUGGCAUAAGAGUGAAAGGCGCUUUCGGGUGUCGCUGAUGGAUGGACCCGCGGUGCAUUAGCUAGUUGGUGAGGUAACGGCUCACCAAGGCCACGAUGCAUAGCCGACCUGAGAGGGUGAUCGGCCAC
rnacentral:rRNA from 1 species